GUUAACAAUAGACUGCAUUGUUGGGAAAUAUUCCCACAACCACCAUUGAAUGUGCUUAUUGAAUCCAUAUAAGCCAAAGCCCAUUAGAAUGCAGUCACCAAUGGUGCUUACCAAGAGUAUAUCGGGAAUAUCAAUCUCGGGAAUGCCAGAAGAAAUAUACGCACCUUGUUAUCCUGGAGACAGGUACUCUGCACGAGAUCUCAACUGAUAUGAUAUCAAUUCCCGACAUGUAAGGAGGAACCUCUGGAAUGAAUCAAUUUCGCGAUAACCGAAGCAUCGCGAGAAGCUUUGAUUCUCGACAAUAGCUCCAAUCCUGGAACUGUUGGACUCAUCUCCCACCCGAUCCCGAAUGACAGUUAAAGCAAAACUUUCAGGCACAUAUGAGAGGGACCAAACAGAUUCUUCAUCAGGAAGUUUUGGCACCUUUUGGCUAUUCAAGAUGAAAAACUCUGUAUGCUCCUCACUGGAACCUGAUUUGGCCAUGGUUGUGAUCAUGUGAAGGAAAUUUGCCAAGUGUAGAUCAGGAGUUCCAUCAAAUAACAAACGAGACAGCUCGAUAAAUAAGGCAUGAGAAUCAGAUUCUUGGGUUGUGUACAAAAUGUUAUCCUGUAAAAAUCAUAUACACAAAGAUAUAACUAAAAAAAGAGAUGUAAUAUAUUGAUAUUCCAAAUCAUGCCAAGUAUCAUGGAGAGCUUGAUUCUAAAAUCAUCAAACAUGGUUAAUCUUCAAUUCCAGAAAUAGCUAGUCUAAAUACAAAAUAUCUCUGCACAAGGAAGACGCAAGUGACAUUUACCAACAUGGUUAAUCUUCAAUUCCAGAAAUAGCAUAUAGCAUGACAUUAGCAUUUUCCAGUGAAGUUUGCCAGCUUUGUAGCUUUCAAAGUGGUACCUAAGUCCUAAAUGUCCUUGAGAGGUUGCAGUCUCCAAUUAUAUGCUUGGUAGCGAACAAAUCUGGCUGGCUUUAGCUUCAAUUUUUUUGGAAAAUUGUUUGUAAUAGGCUAUUUUCAUGAGAGAGAGGACAAAAAUUGAAUAAAGGAUCCCCAUCACAUACCUGCAGAAGACAGCUACAUUCAACUCGCUUAUUAGAUGCACCACAACUCUUUAUGAUAUUCCUGUAGAACAGCUUUUCAACAACAACUACUUGUAGACGAUUCAGAAUAUCAAAUCCAGACUGCUUGAGCUGAAUAUAUUUAUCAUGGUGUGUGCUACAGAAGUAGCGUUGAGAAUAAGGAAGAGCCCAGCCCACCAAUGAAGCUUUGAAGCUACAGUCUGCCAGACCAUAAUAUAUUGCUUCACGAGUUACAACCUGCACAUGAGUGCAUCGAUGUAGAAAGGAAGAUUGAAAUCACAUUAUGUAACUUGUUUUUUGCUUUUUACUGUUAUUUUUCUGUUUCUCUUCGAAGUGACAAUACAUGGUGCUCAAUUUUCUUAAAA